UUUGUGAUUUUUUAAAAAGAAAUAUUGUAUUUAUUUAUUUAUGAGAGACACAGAGAAAGGCAGAGACAUAGACAGAGGGAUAAGCAGGCUCCCUGCAGGGAGCCGGAUGUGGGAGGAUGUGGGACUCAAUCCGGGGAGGGGGAUCACACCCUGAACCAAAGGCAAAUGAUCAACCGAGCCACCCAGGUGUCCCUAUUUGUGAUUUUUUUAAUGGCUUCCAGCCAUUAUUGGAAUAACAGCUAUUAGACUUGCCUUCCUCCUAAAGGGGGUAGGAAGGAAACCCCAGAAAACUGAACAAAAUAUAGGGAACAACUAUUUUCAAACAUUGGACAAAAGACAACACAGGACUGUGCUCCCUAAGAUAAAGUAAAGGGAAUCAAUGACAUAAAACCUACAAUUGCCCUGAUUUUCCAUGCGGAGGAACUUCCUGACUGCAGGGAGGAGGGUCCAAUCAGGAUGCGGCCCUUCUUCAAGAGUUUAGAAGACAGUCAGGGGAUGGGGAGCCCAAGUAUUUGGAAUUUUCAGGUAAGAUAAUGAGAGAGAGAGAGAAUGAGAGAGAGACAGAAAAAAGAGAGAGGGAAAAAUACUAGAGAGAAAGGAUCUACUCAGAGAAAGAGUUCCAGAAAUCUAUAAUAGGGUCCUGCAAGUUAUUCUUUAAAAGAAAAAAUUUAUUUGAGAGGGAAAGAGAGCAUGAGCAGAGGGUAGGGGGCAAGGGCAGAGGGAGAAGCAGGCUCCCCACUGAGCAGGGAGCCCAACAUGGGCUCAAUCCCAGGACCCCUAUCAUGACCUGAGCUGGAGGCUGACGCUUCACUGACAGAGCCCCCCAGGAGCCCCUGGCCCCCCAAAGUCAUUCCACACAAGCAGCCUCAAGAGGGGGAUAGUGCCCACCCCAGAUGUAUAACAAACAAAGAACAACCUGGAGGACAGAGUCAGGGGCUGUUGAACCAGGAACUUUCUCUUCUUCCAGGGCAGGGGUCUUCAUUAUCCAUGCUUAAUAGGAGUUGGAAAUUGCCAUGGACCAUAGACUGUUUUAUGUUUCCCAUGUUGCCUUUUAUAAAUAAAGGUUUUAUUGUUUUAUCUGACUCUUACUCUCUCAUUGUAUAUUUGGGACACAUAAAAUAUUUUUCAGUUUUAAAAAAAUUGAAUUUAUAAACCAUUGUACAAUUGAUUAUGUUGGGACAACAAACAACAUACCAUCUCAUUUUUAUUUUAUUUUAUUUUAUUUUUUAUUUAUUUUUUUUCCAUCUCAUUUUUAAAUCACUGGACCACAAGCAACUCCAUCAGACCUUUUGAAACAAACACUGCCUAACUCCAAGAAUCUAAACUGUGAGCUAGAUGGGGCCACCGGGGGAACCUUUACAAAUGGUCUUCCUUAGGAAUAAAGGAAGUUUGCUCCAGAUAUAGGAAAGUGCUCAAAUAUAUGAAUGGCCAAAAGAGAAGACUGCAGCAGUAACUGCCGAUUGGCUCCCAUCCCUAUUGCCGUGGUCCUCUAUUAAUCCUAGAGUCCCCAACUUUUAGGCAUUUAGCCCUCCAAAAUAAGCACACUUUCAACCUUCCUUGCAGCGAGUGGCAUGGGGCAGUUCCAAGUAUUUCCCUUAAGAGACUCCUGGCAUAGGGACACCUGGGUGGCUCAGCGGUUUAGCACCUGCCUUGGGCCCAGGGCAUGAUCCUGGAGCCCCGGGAUCAAGUCCCACAUCGGGCUCCCUGCAUGGAGCCUGCUUCUCCCUCUGCCUGGGUCUCUGCCUCUCUCUCUCUGUGUCUCUUAUGAAUAAAUAAAAUCUUUAAAAAAAGAGAGACUCCUGGGACAUCCUUAUCCCUGAUGGUUAAAAACUGGAAGAACUUGUUGGAACAGUCAUCUUGGAUCAGGAAACACCCUGGGGAAUGGAGGACAGAAAGGCAGAACAAGAUAAUAGAAACCUGAUCCCUCCCAGACUUCAGAGACUAGAGCCACCAGUCAAGCCCAGGGCUGGCUAUCUCUAAGCUUGUACACGAAAUAAAUAAAAUUAUCUUAUGUAAACUGCACAACAUUGUACAGGUCGUGUACUGUGCCUUCAGCUCAGGGCGUGAUUCCUGGGGUCCUGGGAUCAAGUCCCACGUCGGGCUCCCUGCAUGGAGCCUGCUUCUCCCUCUGCCUCUCUCUCUGGGUGUCUCAUGAAUGAAUAAAUAAAUAAAAUCUUUUUUUUUUUUAAUUGGGAUAACCAGUUUGGGAAAAAAUUUAGCAAUACUUGGUAAAACUGAAAAUACACCUAUUCUAUGAUCCCUAUAAUCUACUAUUACAGUGGUUCUCAAAAUAUGGUACAUGGAUCAUGGAGUCUCUAAAGGUCAGCAAGAUCAAAUUUAUUUGUAGGAUACUGAGAUGUGACUUGCCUUUCCACGUGUUGACAUUUGCAUUUAUGGUACAAAAGCAGAGGCAGUGACACCAAACUGUAGCACUAAUCAGCCAAUUCCUCACUGCCACAUGGUCAGGGGUUGGCAGGGAGGAAAAAGAAGUUUUGCUUAGGAAUGUCAUCAAUUAAGAAAUAAAAAAACUUUGUUGUCUUGACACUUAAAAAUUCUUAAUACUCAGGGUGAUGAUGCAUACUGAAGUCCAAUGGUGUCAUAGCUACUCAUGCAAUUGUUUAUCUGGGCAUUUUUUUUCAUGAAACAUUAUUUUUAUUUAAAAUUGACAAACUGUUUAUUCUGCCUUGGGUAUCCGACAGACACUUCCUCAAAAAUGAAUAAAGUGAGCAUGUCACUUCAAGGAAAAGAACUGAGAGUAUUUGUUGCCAGUGAUAAAAUUUGAGCUUUUUUUUUCUUUUAAAGAGAGAAAACCUGUGUCUGUCACCAUGAGCUUAAAGUUUCCCAAUGCCUAAAUAUUUUUUGAUAUUACAUAAUAAAAGGCAUCAACAUUUGGAAGACCUCCAUCACCCAGUGAGCCAAUAUUUUCCAAAUGACCGCUGAAAGCAUGAUUUUUC
rnacentral:lncRNA from 1 species